rnacentral:lncRNA from 1 species
GUGAGAACUUAAUUUCUGAUUAUGUGUUAGUUAAAGAGCUAAUACAGUUGGGAAGAGGCUGUUUGAACAGGCAGAAAAAGUUUCCAUUCACCUUCUUGCAGCUAAACUAAGAAUUGAACUGGGGCAAAUGGAAUAAGGAGGUUUUGGAUAAAGAGAAAUAGGAAGGGAAUAUCCCUGGAGUUACAUCCACUCCUGUAUGGAGCAGGGUAUCCAGCACUUGAAUUGAGGGAAUCAAGGCCAGUACUCCAACCUCUAUUUCCUUCCAAUGUUAGUGGAAAAUGGGAUCAGAACUGGCAUCGAGGCUGCAGGUCAUGUUUUAUUCCUGCUGUGUUCAAGAUAUCUGGGAAUGGCUUCUGA